AGUGAACGCUGGCGGCGUGGCUCAGACAUGCAAGUCGAGCGAGAAGCUCCUUCGGGAGUAGAAAGUGGCAAACGGGUGCGUAACACGUGAGCAACCUGCCCUUAAGUAGGGGAUAGCCCAUCGAAAGAUGGAUUAAUACCGUAUGUGGUACUCCUUCGCAUGAAGGAAAUACUAAAGCUUGUAAUGGCGCUUAAGGAGGGGCUCGCGGCCUAUCAGCUUGUUGGUGAGGUAAUGGCUCACCAAGGCUAAGACGGGUAGCUGGUCUGAGAGGAUGAUCAGCCACACUGGAACUGAGAUACGGUCCAG
rnacentral:rRNA from 1 species